ACAGGUGCUGCAUGGCUGUCGUCAGCUCGUGUCGUGAGAUGUUGGGUUAAGUCCCGGCAACGAGCGCAACCCUUAUCAUUAGUUGCUACGCAAGGGCACUCUAAUGAGACUGCCGGUGACAAACCGGAGGAAGGUGGGGAUGACGUCAAGUCCUCAUGGCCCUUAUGGGUAGGGCUUCACACGUCAUACAAUGGUCGGUACAGAGGGUUGCCAAGCCGCGAGGCGGAGCCAAUCCCACAAAGCCGAUCGUAGUCCGGAUUGUUCUCUGCAACUCGAGAGCAUGAAGUCGGAAUCGCUAGUAAUCGCAGGUCAGCAUACUGCGGUGAAUACGUUCCCGGGUCUU
rnacentral:rRNA from 1 species